GACGAACGCUGGCGGCGUGCCUAAUACAUGCAAGUCGAACGCAGUGGGGACGGGUGAGUAACACGUGGGUAAUCUGGCCUCAGAGCGGAUAACACUUGGAAACAGGUGCUAAACCGAUACUGAUGGAUGGACCCGCGGGGCAUUAGCUAGUUGGUGGGGGAACGGCUCACCAAGGCCACGAUGCAUAGCGUACCGGAGAGGGUGAGCGGCCACACUGGGACUGAGAAACGGCCCAGACUCCUACGGGAGGCAGCAGUAGGGAAUCUUGGGCAAUGGACGAAAGUCUGAUCGAGCAACGCCGCGUGAGUGAAGAAGGUUUUCGGAUCGUAAAACUCUGUUGGUAGAGAAGCGGUAUCUAACCAGAAAGCCACGGCUAACUACGUGCCAGCAGCCGCGGUAAUAC
rnacentral:rRNA from 1 species